CAUGCUUUAAUCAAGGAUUAUGUUACGAUUUGGUCAACAAAUAUGCAUGUUUUUGUCCUGAUGGGUACAAGGGGAAACACUGUGAAAUAGAGAAUGCCCCCCCACCCGUGUUUCAAUGGAAGAACUUGUGUGGAUGGCCCUGCUACAUAUGUCCUGAUGGGUUUUAUGGUGACUUUUGUGAAGAAGAGAUUAAUGAAUGCUACUCAAUGCUAUGUCUUCAUUGUUCCAUCUGCCAAGUCCUUGCAAAUGGAUACCGCUGCCACUGUAGACUAGGUUGGACAGGGCUCCACUGUGAAUGUGACAUUAAUGAGUGCCAGUCAGAGCCAUGCUUCCAUGGGAUAUGUAUCGAAAAGGAUCCCGACCAUGGAUACAACUGUUUCUGCCGUCCUCGAUUUGUGGUGUGAGGUGUUUCUUUUUCAAACUGGCUGCAAGAUUAAGUAAAUGCUGAAUACGAUAUGUUACUGUUCAGCAUUUUUGCUUUUUAUCUUGCAAAUCACAAAGCUCCCAGAUGGAUAGGAAAAUGGUGCCUCAGUAACUUCUAUUGCAGUAUUGUAACAGCUGGAACCUUCCAGAUGAUUGUUCACGCCUGUGUGCCCAACACUAAUUUAUACUCUGAUUUAGGAGACAGGGGAGCUAUAUAUUACAAUUUUAAUGGCUUCUUUAGAACCUCUAGUUUCUCUGAAUAUAUUCAGUGGGUGACAGUGUUUAUGAAAGCAUUAUUCUUUUUCUUCCUUAACAUAUAAAAAGCUUAUCACCUCAUAAUGUUUUCCCAUCAAGUUGAUACCAUAUUGGCAGAAUAUAAAAUAAAUACCAAAGGUUAUGAAAGAAUAUAAUGAUAGUCAUUAAUGUAUUGCACUUAGCAGCUGCAAAUGUAUAUUUUUGUAAAAUAUUCCUACUGUCUGGCUGAUUAUUGUAAUGAGACCCAAUUGAAGCAAUUCUCUGGCAAUGCUACAUUUGUGGUGUCACAUAAAAAGAUGUUUAACAUAUUCUUUCAUACAAACUGAGUGGUAAAACCUUCUGGAAUAAUAAUGGAUUAAAAUCAAUUGUUCAUAAUCAUAUGUAAUGAAUAUGUUACAAGAAACUCAAGGUUAAGGCCUUCGGUAUUAGGGCCACGUUUUGUUUGUCUCUUAUAUAGUCAGGUCUCAUUGUAUUUGCAUUUCAUCAAAACCUGCACCCCAGUAUUAAGGCCAUUGCACCCUGGAUCUGUCAUCCGAAAACUCAUCCGUCAAGUUGAUUGCACAUUGGAUGCGUUAAAAACCACACCAGGAAAAAAAUGGCAGAGGUAUCUUCAACCAGCUCCAGCAGCGAUGAUGAAGAUGUAUUACUUAUCCUGUGGAGUCAAAGCCAAAAACGCAAAAAAGGCAAUAUUGGAUGCACCCAAUAUUAAAGAAGCAUAAAGAGAGCUGGGGGAGUAUCACAGGCUGAUACAGGAGCUCAAACAGGACAAAGAACGGGUCUGAGUUUAUUUCAGAAUGUCAGUAGUUCAGUUUGAGGAGCUACUAAUAAUAAUCGGUUAUAAUAUACAGUUGUUCGUGGUUAGCUACGCAGAGAAUAAGCUUCUCCAGAGCCAUGCUGAACACAAAAACAGGAACUACAAGAAUCCACCUGCCUUCCCAGUCAAAUUGAUGCAUCACCGUUGUACAACAAUUACAGACUCAGUAUGCAAGAUGCAAUAGGGAAUGCACAUCAUCAUUUUUUUCUUCUUAGACGCACAUCGGAUGCAUAAUCGGAUCCAGUGUGCAAUGGCCUUUACAAAACCUCUCCUGCUGCAUGGACCAAGGAGAGAUUCAUUACAAUACAUACAUACAUAGAACCCUAUAGAAUUAACUAAUGUAGCUUCAUAAAAUUGAAUGAAACCUGCUGAAUAAUGUUACUUUAACAUAUUGAAUUACAUACCUGUAGCAGUGCGGGGCCCUGCUUGUAAAUAGUGUUUGGUUUGUGUAUUGGUGGUGGUGGUUGGCAGGGAUGGGGUUAAUUGCUAUCCCUGCCAAAUACAUGUGAGAAUGUUGUUCUCACAUGUAUUUGGCUGUUCCCAAAUUGGAAAAUUGGUGCUAAUUGGGAACAGCCACAUGAUAUGAAAAGGGAGGUAGAAACUCCAUUAAGAGAGAGGUUAUUGCUGCCGCAUGGAGAGAGAAACGCUCCUAUAUUUAAAAUAAAACUCCUUUCACACUAGCUAGUAUGCUACUGGAAGACUUGGA